CGGUGCAUGUCAGCCAAUCUGGGUCACGGUGCAUGUCAGCCAAUCUGGGUCACGGUGCAUGUCAGCCAAUCUGGAUCACGGUGCAUGUCAGCCAAUCUGAGUCACGGUGCAUGUCAGCCAAUCUGGGUCAUGGUGCAUGUCAGCCAAUCUGGGUCACGGUGCAUGUCAGCCAAUCUGGGUCACGGUGCAUGUCAGCCAAUCUGGAUCACGGUGCAUGUCAGCCAAUCUGGGUCACGGUGCAUGUCAGCCAAUCUGGGUCACGGUGCAUGUCAGCCAAUCUGGGUCACGGUGCAUGUCAGUCAAUCUGG